AGGUGGUUGGUUCAGGAAAGUUUUCCAUGGAAGAAAACUGUGCCUAAGAAAACCCAGGCCUAAUCUGCAGCCUGACUCCAUAGUCCGGAAUCUAUUCUUUGUGGUAAGUUUUUCAGGGGCUUCUAAACUUCCAGCUAACUUCAGCUACAUCAUCCUCAGUCAACUAAAGGUAUGUGAACAACCUGCAACCUCAAAGGAAACAGGGGUGAGGUUUUCCGUUACUUUCUUUCCAGAAAUCAUUUUAGAAAUUUGCUCAUCCCCCUCAUGGCAUUCUUAGAAUUUCAUAUUCUAAGGGAUUUAGAGUGGAGCAGCUUCAGUCACAGGGGAAAAAUUAAAAAGAAGCCUAAUGCACUUUUGCCCCAGAACAAUGGAUGCCUAUUUGUCUUACAUCCACUUAAUUAAAAAUGGUUCUUCCCACAGCGAAGUAAUGUCUACACUGGUAAAAGUCAAAGUAUUUGGCAGUUUUUAAAAUGCAUAAUUUCUCAUUAGAAGACUUCAAGUUCUGCCUCAAUAGUCAUCCAUCUACACUAUUAUUUUUAUUCUUACUGUUUUCAUUUCAAAAUUGAGGUGUUUAAAAAGUCCCUUGAGAAGACAACUUGAGAUAAAGCAGCAAAUCUGAUUCUUUUAAAAUCCUGUACUCUAGUCAAUUACCAUUCUGACUUUGGUCUAUCAUACACAGGAAGAUACUUUAGCCUUUCAAUGAGGUUUCUCAAAUGAUAUAUUGAAUUUUAGGUUCAUUUCACAUGACCACAGUUAUCUAUUUUUUUUUUUUUUUCAAUUAAAAAUUUCCUGGUAGUUUGUUCCUUUAAAAAAGUCUUUGGAAAUUCUCACUUCUCAUAGUUCACAUGAAAUCCAGGUAACUUCUUUUGACCUGUGGCUUUAAUAAAGGAAGAAAAAACCUAGUUGUUACAGUAUGAUCAGUGUGUUAGUUUGACAUCCACAUCAAAGAAAAUAACUCUCUAAGCAAGGCUGUCCUUAAAGCUGGAGACAGACUUGUCAGUAACUCACAGCCGGAAAAACUUGAUUUCUAGAACCGUGAUCAAACUGUCAGGACAAUGCUGCUUCCAUAAGAAUCAAGACAAGCCCACCUGUCUGAUUUUUUCCAGACAUAACUAAGAAUUCCAAAGGUGAGCCAACAAACCAAGUGAAAGACAUCAAAUAAUUGCAUCACUAUUUCCCUUGAGGGAUUUUGUCCUAAAGACUAAGAAAACCCUCUUAAAUUAGCUCUAAUUAAAUGUUGUGAAUCUGUGGUUCCACCAUUCAGAAAAUGGAUUGCCUCAUUGUGUUUUUUCCAUGUUACUAAGAGAGAGAUUGGGAUUCUUUAAAGGAAGAUUAAAAGCAUGGAAGGGACAAAAGGAAACAGAGUGAAAACAGAAAAAAAGUAAGUCCAAGUCUGUUCUGGAUACUGCAUGGAUAGAUGGUGGCCGUAGGUAAUCAUUUGGUAUGCAUUGACAGAAUUGGUUUACGCGAUCACUCUGGCGGUGUGCUAGCCGUAUUGAUUAUGGGGUGAUACAUAUAGAUUAGUGUGAUGAGUAACGGUGUUUUCACACCACACUGGCUGACUGCAUAUACAGACAAGAUCAAGUUAUUCUGUACAGACUAUUCCUUAGGGAGUGUUGGGGGAAGUAAGGGUAGUGGGGCUCACCAGGCACUCUGCUGUUAAGUUAUCCUGACAAUAGGGUUAUUUUAAAAUUUAUUGCGAAGUGUUUCUAUACAAAGGAAAUGUUUCGUGGAAGGAAUUCGUGAUAUUAUACAAGUAUGUUUCUUUAAUUGGAAACCAGACACACUCUACUAAACAUUUUAUUGGAAAAUUUAUUUCACACUUCACAAAGGAUCCCGAGAGAAAUGCUUUGUGAUUAACUGUGAUUGUCCAUAUAUGAAAAAUGAGGGCAGGAUAAGAAUAAAUAUGCAAUUAAUAGGGCAGGCCUCCUAUUCUUUAUUUGUUUUCUGACAUUUCCAGCAGUAUUUUCUCCCAAAGAUGAUAAUAUUAAGCAGGGCAUCUAAUGCCAAAUCUUGUCAGAUUGAUACCUUGUUAUCCUUUAUUGUUGUUUUAAUCUUUAAUACAAUUUGGCUGUAAAUUGAAAGCUCUGUAUAACAUUAUAAUCCUGCAAGCUGAUUCACUUGAUUGAAGGGAAAAAUGAGACACAAAACCCAUGCUGCUUUUAUGUUCUUAGACAACACUCCUUACCCACUUGCAGACUAGUGGCUUUUCUUUAGUUUUAAUUUGAGGGUUUUUUUUUUUUUUUUUUUGGUUGGUUGGUUGGUUUCUUUUUAAUUCAUAGAUUCUUUAAACUAUGCCAGUGUAGUCUCUGGAUGAGCAGCAGCAAUAUCACCUGAACACUUGUUAGCAAUACAGAUUUUCAGGUGAAUUAUUGACCUAUUGAGUCAGAAACUCUGUUCUGGGGGUCCAGUGAUCUCUGUUUAACAAGCCCUCCAAGAUGAUUCUAAAGCCCACUAAAGUUUGAGAACCACUGCAUUACACUGUCAGACUCCUUCCUCUCAUUGUUUUGCAUCUGGAAGCACACCAUGCGUAGAAUACAGUUAUAACUUAACACAAAAUGUAGUUCACUGCCUUUAACUAAACCUGAUGGCUUUGUAGUUUCAUUAGCACAAUACUACAAACAAUUGGGCUACCUAUGCAUUGACCAAGGACAUAAGUGAGUUUCCUCCCACUUUCCCUUUUUUUGGGGGGACGGGGGGGAGGAAGCAUGGUAUUUAAAGGCAGACAAGUCUAAUUGCAAGUUCUGAUGUAUCUCAGCAGGUGGGCGAUUUAACCCCUCUAGCUCUUGUGUUCUUCACCUAUAAACAUAUAUUCUUUGAGGUGUUGUUCUGAGUAUGAAAAGAGAUCAGCACUAAUACUAGGUCAUACAGUGAAUUAGAAAAAGGUGCCCUCUCUGGGGAAACCAAUUAGGAAAAAGCAUUCAUUCCUUAGGGCUAACAUUGCCCAUGUCUCUUCUCAGACUUGGCAAAGAGAACCCGAACUGGAUUUCAGCCCUGACUUCUGCCUCCUCAUCUGGACAGUUUCGUCCAAGGAAAUGUGAGAUCUCUGCGGCCAAGAAGAACAACCUGAGGACUCUAUUUCUGGAGGUAAUUGAACUCCUUCAGUAAGUCCAGAGGAGAAAUCUGAGAUCGGUAUGUCUUUUGUAUCUAUGAUAGCUAAGGAUACAUCACUUGAAAGAUUCGCUGUACUUACUACUUCCUUCAGCAUUUGACUCUUGGUCCUUGUGAGCUCCUUGUUCCUGCAAAGUUGGCUGGGGUCACCAUAGUCGGUCAAAAAAAUCCAUCAAUGACAGAGAUAGGGAAUCUCCAAUCUCUAUCCCAAGACAUGUUGUCGAUGACUUGAGCACAUCAACAGAAGCUCCAGAUGCAGAAGAGAGAUUUUAUCUGUGGGAAAAUGACCCUCUGAAAAGAAGUGUGAAAUCAUCAAAAAAGCCAUUGGAGGGGACACUUGGGAGUCAUGUGGCUGAGGUUUCACAAGAUCCCACCAUGAUUCCAGUCCAGAGGAGAAAUCUAGACCCACUCCUCAAAAAGUAUAGGCAUCAUAAGAAGGCCACAAGGACAAAAAGGAGGAGGAAGGAGAAAAUGGUGGCCCAGUGCCCCCCUGUUCCUCCAACACCUUCAACACCACCACAAAGUGAAGAAGAUGAGGCUGUAGACAAAAAGCCAACUCUACUCAGUGCCCAGGAAGAUAAUCCUGACCUUCUCCAUGAAGACAGAUUACAGUGUCUGCAGGAAGAGCGUUCUAGUGUGAUGCAUCAGGAAUGUCAGAUCGAGUCCUGAGAGCUCUCAGUGGCUCAGAAGCCCAGGCCCUCUUCUCCUGCAGUGACAUCCUCGGCAUAACCACCACUCUGCUUUGGCAGUUUCCUAAGCUGUGUCUGCCAGACCUUCUCAAGGUCUAGAAGCAGAAGGUGCCCAGAAGAAAGGGUAACAACCAGGCUGAGGCAGAAGGUGAUGCUGAGGUCCUGAGACCUGGCCAGGCAAAAUCAGAGCUGAGCCUCAGCAAAACGUGUAGCCACUUGAAAUUGAUACAGCUUUCCUUUGUGUUUAGUUUUAUGGUUCUCUCUGUAUGUCAUUGUUCCUCUUAGUUGAGUUCUUGCCUGUCAAAGAGAUAGAGAACUGCUUUUAUGCUGAGAUCCUCAAGCUAAAACCCAUAGUAAAAGCAAAGUAAAACUUUGAGGCUUUCAACUUUUACUCAGUGAUGGAAUUACUUCCUACUUCCUUCCCAUUAGGUUGAAGGUGUGAUUCUCUCUGGAGAAAGUUGUUCCCAAAAUUCAUGUGUAUUUCACUCAGGAUUGAAGUGAUACAAUUUCAUCAUUUUUGGUAGUGUUUCCUGAUACCAACCACCAAAUGGAGACCUUUCAUGUCCAACUCCUUUCAUUUUCUCUUACCUUCGACUACAGAUUCAUUUUGUAUUCUUCUUCACUAUUUUGUUGAAAGUCUGCCACUUUUUUUUUUUUUUUUUUUUUUUUUU